UUGCUCAAUUGGUAGCAUGUGAGCUAAAAUUGGAAAUAUACAGAGAAUAUUAGCAUGGCCCCUCAGUAAAGGACAAUGAACAUAUUUACGAAGUAUUUGAUUUAUUU